rnacentral:rRNA from 1 species
CUUUGGUCUGACAAAGUCCAAGUCAUCAUUAAGUGCUCCAAUCACUACUUAAUCUUAGCUCUAGUUGUACGUAUAGCGACUAAUCUUGAGUUUGCAUUGUCUUGUGUAUAUGGGGAUCCUCAUCAUCGCCACACGAGAAUGAUUUGGGACCAGAUUUCGUCUUUUGUGUCUGAUAACACAGGAAAGCCAGUAGUUUGCUGCUUAGGUGAUCUCAACAACAUCAUGUAUGAUGUGGAUACUACCUCCUCUAAUAUAAACCACUUUCGUAUGCGUAUUCUUAUUGGUUAUGUUAAACAAUGUGGUCUCUUUGAUCUUGGUUUUAGUGGCCCUGCUUAUACAUGGAUUAACAAACAUUUCUCGUCAACCUGUUAA